AAGUUUUCUGAUUUUUUACUAUAUUUAUGGUUUGAUUUUUUUAUGUCAAUUUAUAUUUUUUAUUUGUUUUGCAAUUAAAUAUAUUUUAAGAUGGGUAUAGAUGAUGAUUGGUUUAAAAAUAUAUUUAAUUUCUUUCUUUCAAUUCUUAUUUUUCUAUUAAAAAAUUAAAAUAUUAUAAAUUUAUUUUUUUUAUUAAAAAAUUAUGUUUAAAUGCUUAGAUUUAUUUUAUUUUAUGCUUGAUUGCUUUUCAUUUACUUAUAGAUGUAUAUUAAUAAUCAAAGAAGGAAAAUAAAUAGUGAAGUUAUGACUGCAG
rnacentral:lncRNA from 1 species